GCCAGGAAGGAGGAAGCAGGCAGCAGACCCUCUGCCCAGACCAGACCAUCCAGAACAGCUAUUGCUAGUUGUCUCUUUUCCACACCAAAGAGCCCCAGAUGCUGUAGCCUUGCAUUAUAAGAAGGUGCUUCCGGUCGCUGAUCAUCUUUGUUGCUCUCUUCUGCACCUUCUCCAGUUCUACAGUGUCCUUCUUAAGAUACGGAGAUCAGAACUGCACACAGUACUCCAGGAAAAGAAAAGUCAAGAAGUGGAUUUUUCAGCGUUUAAGCCCUUUUACUAGACAAUGCUGUGGAAGAAGGCAGAGCUACUCUGGUUGGGGGCCCUUUGAUGGAAGCUGUUAUGAAGUUAAUGUAGCAGAGAGAUGUUCAGAAGCUCCCAACGUGAAGACUGUGCAGAAGCCUUUCUAAGUGAUUGGACCUCUAUGAACUCCUCAGUGGCUGAAGAGUACUAGGCCCAGACAGUCCACAGGGCAAAGCAGGAAGAACUACACAAAGAUCCAUGCAUUGCAAUGCUUCACCUGUGAAAAGUUAAAAAGCACUGACAGUUUAUGAAUGCUGACACCAGAGGUGCAACUGGCAAGAUUUCUGAUGAUAGAAGAGAACCAGUUUCAUUCUUGGACAAAAAGGAAUGUAUAUAAUCCCCCUGGAUGGUUUGCAUCUUUGCAUUCCUCCGGAAAUCAGCAUGAGCCCUCACUUGACCUCCAAGGCCAUGCAUGCACCAGACAGGUUAGAGAGGAGAAGUCACCAGUUCUUUGAUAACGAUUGUGACAUUCCAGCUUGAUGAAGAAAAUACUUCAGAUGUCAACAAAAACUUUUCCUGUCAUGAGGGUUUUUCUUCUCUCAAUAUGUCCCUGGAAUAUCUACUAUUUCUCACCAAUGAAAACUACAAAUAAGACAUCUAGCACACAAAUAAUUCAAGCAUGUGAAUCAGAAAUAUAUCCGAUCCCAUACUCGAUAUAAUAAAGUCACAUACUCUUUACAUUUUGUAGCAACUAUUUUAGAAUAGCCUUUAUAAGUGUUUGGGGGUGGGGUGGGCAUAUCUUGUGCACACCAGAUUUGGAAUGAAGUUCCAUUGAAAUCCAUGGGAGUUUUAAUUCCAACUACACAUGCCCAUGAAUGUGCAGUGAUGUGUGUGUGCAUGCAUACACACGUGCACAUGCAUGUUAUACUGGUGCCCUGUCUCUUUAAUUAGCUAUGCAUGGACUUAGAUUUUGCAAAUUCUAAUGGGUAUGGGGUUGGGUUUUUGGGUUUUUUUAAAAAACGCAUUUGUUAAC